rnacentral:rRNA from 1 species
ACCAUCCCAGUUCGGAUUGCAGUCUGAAACUCGAGUGCAUGAAGCUGGAAUCGCUAGUAAUCGCAAAUCAGAAUGUUGCGGUGAAUACGUUCCCGGGUCUUGUACACACCGCCCGUCACACCAUGGGAGUUGGAAAUGCCCGAAGUCAGUGACCCAACCAAAAGGAGGGAGCUGCCGAAGGCAGGUUCGAUGACUGGGGUGAAGUCGUAACAAGGUAGC